GAUGAACGCUGGCGGCGUGCCUAAUACAUGCAAGUCGAGCGAACAGACGAGAGUGCUUGCACUCUCUGCCGUUAGCGGCGGACGGGUGAGUAACACGUGGGUAACCUACCUAUAAGACUGGGAUAACUUCGGGAAACCGGAGCUAAUACCGGAUAAUAUUUAGCUUCGCAUGAAGCAAUAGUGAAAGACGGUUCUGCUGUCACUUAUAGAUGGACCCGCGGUGUAUUAGCUAGUUGGUGAGGUAACGGCUCACCAAGGCAACGAUACAUAGCCGACCUGAGAGGGUGAUCGGCCACACUGGGACUGAGACACGGCCCAGACUCCUACGGGAGGCAGCAGUAGGGAAUCUUCCGCAAUGGACGAAAGUCUGACGGAGCAAUGCCGCGUGAGUGAAGAAGGUGUUCGGAUCGUAAAACUCUGUUGUAAGGGAAGAACAAGUACGUUAGUAACUGAACGUACCUUGACGGUACCUUACCAGAAAGCCACGGCUAACUACGUG
rnacentral:rRNA from 1 species